GGUCUCCUGGCCCAAUGGUAAGGCGUCUGACUACGGAUCAGGAGAUUGUCGGUUCGAGUCCGGCGGAGAUCA